rnacentral:snoRNA from 1 species
CUGUUCCGGAGGGAGAGCGGCCUGGGAUGAGGUUGGAGUGUGUUGUGAUGGGGUGUUGAGUGGCAGGCGCGUGCGGGCCAAAUGUGUGAAUGGACGCGUGAGUGUGUGAGUGCGCGUGGUGCGUGCAAGGCGAGUGCGUGCGCCCGCCCCAGUGCCCCUCCCCCGGCCUACACCUUGAUCUUAUUUGAUCGGGUUGUGACUCUAGCCCCGCGGGACCGACCCGAAAUGAAAAGCUCACCUCCUGCGAAGCCCUUUUCUUGGGGCGCUGUGCAGCGAGGCCCAAUGGGCGGUGGCAACGCCGCGGUCCCGGAGCCGAGCCUACGGGGUCCGGCGCUCAGAAGUGAUGAAUUGAUCAGAUAGACGAGGCCGGGCUCGUCCCGGGCCACUGAUUAUCGAGGCGAUUCUGAUCUGA